GUUGUCAGCGGGCUAGCGGCAUGCCAUUCAAAUAAGUGACUUGGUUGUUGUGUGUAGAAAAGUUUAUAGCGAUUUGUAUGCGUUUCAAAGCAGCUGAUUUUUAGCCUCUGUGGGAAAUGUCAUGCUGUCACAGUCAUCUGCUCCUACAACAACAGCUGCUCUGAAUGAAGAACAGUACUCAUCUCUGCAGUAAGUGCUUGUGGAGCUGCUCAGGUAUCUGGCAACAGGAUUUUCUUUUGCUGAACUUCAUUACAAUUACAGAGUAGGAAAGUCAACCAUAGGGAACAUAAUCCGCCAAGUUUGUGCAGUAAUAUGGAACAAAUUGAAAGCAAUUUGUAUACCGCCCAUGACAGAAGACAAGUGGGAACAAGUUAGUAAAGACUUUCUAAAGUAUGCCAACUUUCCUAAUUGCCUUGGAGCACUGGACUGUAAACAUGUUCGUAUUGUGCAACCCAAUGAUUCAGGGUCCCUUUUUUUACAACUACAAACAUUUUCAUUCAAUUGUACUACUAGCUGUUUGUGAUGCUAACUACCGUUUUUUGUUUGUGGAUGUUGGUUCCUAUGGCAAAAGUAAUGAUUCAUCAGUUUUCCAGGAAUCAAUAUUUUACAAAAAACUCAUAGAAGGUACAUUGAAUAUUCCACAGUAAAAACCAAUUUCAAAUGUGUACAUUACACCAUUGCCUCAUGUUUUUGUAUCAGAUGAUGCGUGCGGUCUGUCGAAACACAUCAUGUGUCCAUACUUCGAAAAAUUGUCUCAUAUUAAAAGAGUUUUAAACUACCGAUUGUCAAGAUCUCGCAGGUAUAUUGAAUGUACCUUCGGUAUUAUGGCAAACAAAUGGAGAAUAUUUCAUAGGCCUCUAAAUGUCAGUUUAGAACUUGCAGAAAGUAUAGUUUUGGCAUGUUGUGUGUUGCAUAACUAUGUACGACAACGAGAUGGAUACAGGUAUGAAGAUACAUUUUAUAAGGCGCCAUUCGUUGACUUGUCUGGAGUAACUUCUCCACGGCCCAACAUGUAUGCAAAAGAAGUAAGGGACAGAUUGGCUCGUUACUUCAUCAGCGAAGGCAAACUACCUUGGCAAGAUAAAAUGGUGUAAACAAGAGUGCAAUUGCGAACACUUAUGAGACAAGUAUAUGUUAAUAAUAUAACAUUACAUUGCCCAUUAAAACAAUACAGUGUAAUUAUGAGCAAUUAAAUAUUUUUCU